rnacentral:rRNA from 1 species
UACGAAGGGGGCUAGCGUUGUUCGGAAUCACUGGGCGUAAAGCGCACGCAGGCGGAUUGAUAAGUCGGGGGUGAAAUCCCGGGGCUCAACCUCGGAAUUGCCUUCGAUACUGUCUGUCUUGAGUCCGGGAGAGGUGAGUGGAACUCCUAGUGUAGAGGUGAAAUUCGUAGAUAUUAGGAAGAACACCAGUGGCGAAGGCGGCUCACUGGCCCGGUACUGACGCUCAUGUGCGAAAGCGUGGGGAGCAAACAGG